AGACCCGAAACCCGGUGAUCUAGCCAUGGGCAGGUUGAAGGUUGGGUAACACUAACUGGAGGACCGAACCGACUAAUGUUGAAAAAUUAGCGGAUGACCUGUGGCUGGGGGUGAAAGGCCAAUCAAACCGGGAGAUAGCUGGUUCUCCCCGAAAGCUAUUUAGGUAGCGCCUCGUGAAUUCAUCUCCGGGGGUAGAGCACUGUUUCGGCUAGGGGGCCAUCCCGGCUUACCAACCCGAUGCAAACUGCGAAUACCGGAGAAUGUUAUCACGGGAGACACACGGCGGGUGCUAACGUCCGUCGUGAAGAGGGAAACAACCCAGACCGCCAGCUAAGGUCCCAAAGUCAUGGUUAAGUGGGAAACGAUGUGGGAAGGCCCAGACAGCCAGGAUGUUGGCUUAGAAGCAGCCAUCAUUUAAAGAAAGCGUAAUAGCUCACUGGUCGAGUCGGCCUGCGCGGAAGAUGUAACGGGGCUAAACCAUGCACCGAAGCUGCGGCAGCGACACUGUGUGUUGUUGGGUAGGGGAGCGUUCUGUAAGCCUGUGAAGGUGUGUCGUGAGGCAUGCUGGAGGUAUCAGAAGUGCGAAUGCUGACAUAAGUAACGAUAAAGCGGGUGA
rnacentral:rRNA from 1 species